rnacentral:misc_RNA from 1 species
UACGGAGGGAGCUAGCGUUGUUCGGAAAUACUGGGCGUAAAGCGCACGUAGGCGGUGUCGCAAGUCAGGGGUGAAAUCCCGGGGCUCAACCCCGGAACUGCCCUUGAAACUGCAACACUAGAAUACUGGAGAGGCAAGUGGAAUUCCGAGUGUAGAGGUGAAAUUCGUAGAUAUUCGGAAGAACACCAGUGGCGAAGGCGACUUGCUGGACAGUGAUUGACGCUGAGGUGCGAAAGCGUGGGGAGCAAACAGG